GAUGACAAAAAACCUCGUAGUCCCAUACCUAAGCCGUAUUUUGGAGUCUACUCCAGGGGCAAACUGGAAAAGAGUUUUUUUAGGAAUUCUCCAGAUUUUGACUUGUCGGAUCCCAACAUACCUGGAAUGGCGUACAACGACUUGCACGAUCCACAGCUGAAAGCAUUCUUUCAACAACCUGAGAGGAAACAACAGCUAAUUAAUCAGGGCCUCAUUACACAUGAUAACAAAGUGCUAUGCACUCUGGGAGAGUACAAGCGGUACAAAGAAUAUUUAAAAAAAUGUGGAUAUGAGCUGGUAAAAGUGUUUUCACCAAGAACUGUCCUGUCAUUGCAGUGACCUGGUAGAGGAAGAUUUGGAGUCAUGCUUCAUAAUAUCCGCUUGGCCUGGGCCAUCUGACCCAAUUUACUCCAGUGUAAUAUCUAAAGAGUGCAUCAUUGUGCCUUCUAAGGAAGCUGAAGGUGUUGAGUUUACUUCAGAAGUGGAGAAAACAUCAGCUAGCACCAAAACCAAGAAAAAAAAGGAGCAUGGGCCGUCCUCAGACGAGCAUGGAAAGCUGUAAAACGUACUUUCAGCUGUACUGGACACACCAAGAUUUCACCUGUUGAUUUCACCUGCUGAUUAACAUCUUUCAGUUUAAUGCACUGUGAUUCUGAUUCAAAUAAA